rnacentral:SRP_RNA from 1 species
AGGUUGGUGUAGCAGACAGGCUAAUCGCCAAUUCGGUCAGAUUUGGAAGAAAGCAGCCGUAACGAUUUUAAGUUUGGGUUGCUAUCAACCAGCCUCUC